rnacentral:rRNA from 1 species
GGGUCAGUAGGUUGGUCGUGCCACCGGUACGUACUGGUCUCACUGAUUCCUCCUUCCCGAAGAACCGUAAUGCCAUUAAUUUGGUGUUGCGGGGAAACAGGACUGUUACUUUGAAAAAAUUAGAGUGUUUAAAGCAAGCUAACGCUUGAAUACAUUAGCAUGGAAUGAUGAAAUAGGACGAUCGAUCCUAUUUUGUUGGUUUCUAGGAUUGACGUA